rnacentral:rRNA from 1 species
GACGUAGGGCGCGAGCGUUGUCCGGAUUUAUUGGGCGUAAAGAGCUCGUAGGCGGCUUGUCGCGUCGUCCGUGAAAACUUGGGGCUCAACCCCAAGCUUGCGGUCGAUACGGGCAGACUAGAGUUCGGUAGGGGAGACUGGAAUUCCUGGUGUAGCGGUGAAAUGCGCAGAUAUCAGGAGGAACACCGGUGGCGAAGGCGGGUCUCUGGGCCGAAACUGACGCUGAGGAGCGAAAGCGUGGGGAGCAAACAGG